AGAGGAGCAUGUCCUAUAAUAGACACCACCCGUUUUACCUCACCUCCCCUUGCAAUCAACCUAUAUACCGCCGUCGUCAGCCCACCUCAUGAGAGACUAUAAGUGGACAAAAAUGUCACCACAAAAACGUCAGGUCAAAGUGUAGUUUAUGAGGAGGACAGAGAUGGGCUACAUUUUCUAAAACAGAAAACACGCACAGCACACUGAAACACGUGCUAUAAGGCGGAUUUAGCAGUAAACGAGGCAAGAAAGCCUAAUUGAACCCUGCUCUG
rnacentral:rRNA from 1 species